rnacentral:rRNA from 1 species
GAUGAACGCUGGCGGCGCGCCUAACACAUGCAAGUCGAACGGCACCCCUCCUCGGAGGGAAGCGAGUGGCGAACGGCUGAGUAACACGUGGAGAACCUGCCCCCUCCCCCGGGAUAGCCGCCCGAAAGGACGGGUAAUACCGGAUACCCCGGGGUGCCGCAUGGCACCCCGGCUAAAGCCCCGACGGGAGGGGAUGGCUCGGCGGCCCAUCAGGUAGACGGCGGGGUGACGGCCCACCGUGCCGACAGCGGGGAGCCGGGUUGGGAGACCGACCGGCCAGAGUGGGACGGAGACACGGCACAGACUCCUACGGGAGACAGCAGGGGGGAAUCUUGCGCAAUGGGGGGAACCCUGACGAAGCGACGCCGCGUGCGGGACGGAGGCCUUCGGGUCGUAAACCGCUUUCAGCAGGGAAGAGUCAAGACUGUACCUGCAGAAGAAGCCCCGGCUAACUACGUG